UACAAAAGCCAGGCUAUUAUGUGCCUUGCAUGACAAACUGUGUGUUUCCAAAAUCAUCAAUCUUAAAUAAAUUUGAAAUGAGGGAUUGCUAUCAUCUCUACCAAGGAUGGCUGAAGGAACAACUGAAUCCAGCGCAGCAUGAAGUUCUGAUGGUCUACCUAAACAAAUUAACUCAGGAAAGAUCUGAGUUCCAAAUGUUUGUCUCAACCCAUUGGAGGCGAGAAAACUUCAAGCGCUAUCUUGAAAUGCCUGCAGUUGCAAAACAACUCAUCGAGCAGUAUUGGCAAAAAAAAAUCAACUCAAUAUUUAUGCUGUAUCCAAAUUUCUAUGAUAAGCUACUUACAGUUCCUCUCGUGUACGAUGACAAGGAGAAUCCUAUCAGAAUGCAGCAUCAACAGUGUUUGCAGAGCUUUGGUGAUUUGAGGCAAUUGAGGAUGCCAGUUCUGAGACAAAAGCAAGAGUUAGAAAAGAGUAGAUUGGAUUCAUCCCCUGUCACCUCUGAUGAAAGUCUUCCGCACUACCAGCAACCAGUUAGUUUAGAUGAGUUAGCAGGACAUCUGGCCAUCCAAAGUGAAGCAAAUUUUGUUCUUUCGUCCAGUUGUUUUAAGAAAUUAGUAGACAAUCAUUCGCCCAAUUUCUCAACAUCGUGGCAGUUGCCAAUAGUUGUAAAAGAGUUCCCAAGUGGCAAAGGAAGUAAGCGAAUCGUGUUUAUAGACAAGGCACUCCCUGCUACAAGUUUAUCAACUGCAGACAAGAGCAAGUGGUUUGCAAAGAAAGCUGUGAUAUCAUUCUUAAAUUCUCUUGAGAUAAACACGAAUAAAAAAGCAUCUAAACUUCUGAAUCAAACUCAACCAUCAAAAUGUGUUGAUGAAGCAGCACGUCAAAAAAGUAAUACUCAGGAGUCUUUCGAAAAACCUGAAGAUUUGGCCAAGCAUGCUUGCUCAUCUGUCGAAUCAUCUGAAACGAAAGCAGAAGAUGCCAGGAGACCCCCUAAUGCAACUCAUGAUUCGACUUUUGGUGGAAGCAACUCUGUUUUGAAAGAAGACUCUUGUCAGUUUGCUAAUUCUGAGGAAGGAGAACUCAGCAACUCAGAAACUAGUUUUAAUCAAUCUGAAGUAGAGAAAAAUAGGAGUAUAUCUGAUCAGUCUAGCAUCACCGAAGGUGAUGAAUUGAAAUCAGGCAACAAGAGAGCUAGAAAAAUUCAGCCAAAAAUUAAAGUGAAACCAGCGGAAUUAAACAUGGAUGUCUUAAAUUCCCGGAAUGAUUCUACCUCAGUUGUUAUGAAAACUAGAGGGAGACCCAAGAAGGUCCAAGCAUCAGACACCAGCAGUCCGUCCCCUGAUAAAACUUCGUCCUCAAAUCGAACAUCCACGCGCAGAAAGGGAAUGGAUGUCAGCUUGGAGGUAUCAGAUCUAAUAGAUUCCAAGUUAGAUUCCAAUCUGGUCGUCAAGAAGAAAAGAGGAAGACCAAAAAAGAUUCAAAUAUCAGACACCGGCAGUUCUUCAGAUUUUAAAAUGCCCACAAGCAAAAAGGAAUUAAGUCCGAAUCCCGAGAUAUCAGAUGUAACAGAUUCGAAAGAAGACUCUCCUUCAAUUGUCCCGAAGAAAAGAGGAAGACCGAAAAAGAUCCAGGUGCUGGACAGUUCCUUAGAUGAUGAAACCUCCUCCUCGUCAGUAAGACGCACAGCCCGGCAAACUGCUGCUUCAACUCGGAAAUCUAGCAUAAGUCCUAAAACUAUCAACAAACGCGGGACAAGAAGCAAGAAUAGUCCAUUGUCAAACGGUGAUGAACCAUCAAAAUCAUCAGGUGAGAAGGCCGCAAGCUCAGACCAAAACUUAUCUGGUCCACAUGUCCCGCAGGCUCGAAUCACACGAAGUUCAGUGCCUGAAAAAUGCGUAAAAGCCAUUGCAAAAAAGUCCAAGGAGAAAGUGCAAGACUGUGGCUCCGACUCAGAUACUGAUUCAGAUAACCUGGUGAUAGAUUUGCAGAAUGACGAUGUGACUGAUGAGCAUCUGGAAACAGAAGAAUUGAAUGAAGAUUGUGAGGAGGAUGCGCAUUCCUUGCAACCAACAGGGAAAAACGUUUCGCCAAUCAUUGAACAAAAUGUCGAACCAAAAGAUGUUGUGGGAGAAGCGGAAGAAGUAAUGCCUGUUUCAUUCAACUUUUACCGAGAAAUAAGCAGCGACCGAGAUAAACGGACAGAAACUACUGAAACAACAACAAACUCUGUCUACAACAACACAACCACUUUGUCUGAUUCUGAAGCUCUGACUACAUCUCAAGUUAAAAAUUCUGCAACUUCAGAACAAUGUGAAUCAUCGCUCGAGCCUUCAUCUGAACAUUUGGAUGCAGCUGAGGAGGACAAGGGGGAUGAAAAGUGCAGUCCAGAUGAGAGGUCUCUCAUCAGUCCUGAGAUCGGAGGUUCCUGUACCAGGACAAAUGUGGAGUACAAUUUGUGGACUCUGCAUAAAGAAGACAAUAGUAGAAUAUUACUGAAGACUGGGACUAGGGCACUGUCCUUAUUGAUCAGGACAAAGAAUUUUGGUUUGAUGAGACAGGGUAACAUGGAAUACAAAGUGAAUCCAGUAACAAAGGUAGAGUACAAUCCUGAGUACGGAGCAAGCUGUUCUACAGUGAGUGAGGCUACUCAAGCAUGGGCCGAUCUAUUCAUUAAGCCUCGAACAAAUCUAAUCAGAGUUCGAGUGGCUCAUGGUGACUACGAAGUUAUGAUGGCUGAAAAAUUAGGACUAGUUGACAGUGUAACAGAGUUGAAAAGGAUUCACAACACUACUCCGCAGCUCUGCCUCAACAACUUGUACUCUGUUCUUGUAAAACUCGCAGACCUUGAAGUGGGGAAUUACAUGCUUUGUCACGAGCCUCAAGAUGGAGCGUUUGCUGUCCUGCAUAAAGCUUUGAAUGAGAGGUUUGGGUCGCACAGUUUACAACGCUCUUACCAAAAGAAUCUGAUGGCUUCAAAAGAAAGCUGCCCGUUUAUUCCAAUAGAUUUAUUCACUUUAACUCCAGCCAAUCGUUUUCUCAGAUGUGUGCCAGCAACUUUUACUCCGAAGUUUGUUUCCAAGAGAAAUUUCAACCAAAGGAAAGGACCUCCAUCGCUUCCGGUGAGUAACAUCGGGAGACCAAGACCAAGAAAAAAUAAGGGAAAACAUAAAGGUGCAGCAAAUAAAGGUAAUGCUCAACUGCCAAUAAUUCCUGACAAGAUAUUUCCUCUUAAACAAACGAGCAAGUCCUCUGUUGAAAAGGUACCUUUGGAGAACCUAGUUCUGACUGCAAAACUAGCAAACAAAGAACAAUUUCCGCAUCCUAAUUUCAAGGAGCCAAGAAUUUCUAAGUUUUCUUCAGAAUUCAACCCUGAAAACUCAUUACCGGUUGAAAUACCACUGACUUGUAUUCCAGAGAAACCAAAAACAACCAAAGAGCCUACAAAAUGUAAUCCUGGAAAGACAUCAAUUAACGACAACCCUGAAGUUUUCACUGUUAAAAAGCAUUUUAGUCAUGAGUUACCUCCAGUGCUCACCUGUGAGAAGUUACCAGAACCUGCUGAGCGACUCAAAACGAGUUUAAAUGAAUCGUCCAGUAAAGAGCAGCCACCAGUGCUCAGUUUUGAAAUGCCAACACUUCUCUGUGAGAAACCUUUACCCCCUACCCUUCAUCUGGAAUUAGAACCGAAGAAGCCAACAUCAAAUAAGUCUCACCUACUCAAUUUCGACAAACCAGCAACUAUCCUGAGUCCCUCAUCUCCAAAAUCUAAUAAAUCACCACUCCCAAAGGAGUUAAAUGAAAAACCCUCGCAUCCUCCUGAACUUUCAUCUGAUAGUGCGUUUAUUCCAGAGAUGUCUCCAACCAUCAGUUCUGAAGAUACAACUCUUUUCAGGCAACCUCCAGCGCCUAGUUUGGUGUUGAAUAGCAGAUUAAGAAGAAAUGCACGAAGAGGAGCUCAGUAUAGAGAUAUAUUAAAAAAUAGGAAAAAAUUGAAGCUGAUAAGUAAAAGGCUAACAAAAAGUCUUGAUUCUAGUCAGUCAUCCACUUCGAGUCAACAACGGCAUUGUUCAGACAAUGAGCCCAGUGCAGAGAGAGAAUCAUCCUCCAGUUAUCGAGAUGAAUCAACGCAGGGAAGGCAGCCAACAGAAAAAUUUGCUGGGUUCGUCUUUGGGGAAGUUCAACAACUCGGCGUUUCCUCUAGUGGAGAAAGUCAGCCAAUUAAUCCUUCCGGCUCUCAUGCUCAAGAGGUGUCAUUUUUACAGCCCAGAACAGCAGGAAAUUGGCGUCAAAAAGCACUGAAAAGUCUAAAUUUCCAAUUUUCCAAGACACCCAUGAAAGAAGGGCUUAAAAAUCACUUGUCUUGCAGAGGAUCAUCGGGUAAAAUUCUGCGAAACAGGAGGAGUUAUGAAUAGUAAAAUUAGCUCAUUCGUAACUUUGUUCUCAAUAUUGCUCUGAACUUUGUAAUUAUGCCAUCAUUAUCUUGACCCCUCAAAUUGCAAAUAAUUGUAUUAUUUGAGGUUGAUCCACCCCCCACCCUUACCAGAAACACUGACUGUGAUUUUACUCUUAAUUGUUUUUAUAAUUAUAUUGAGGCAACUGGUUUAACUUAGCCACUAGCUUUUUUGUAAGUUCAUAAAGUGUGUACUAUUUCUAAAUACAUUUUUAUACUUAUCAAGUUCAUUUAACUUUUUUUUUUUUUAAAAAAAAAAAUAAUGAUACACUACGUCAAAUUAAUUCAUUGAUAUCUCCCAGCAAGGGUGAAAUGCUGUAAUAAAUUGAACA
rnacentral:lncRNA from 1 species